GAGCAAAGUCAGAACUGAAAGAGCUUCUUCAGAGCUUUGGAAGUAUCUAGCUUCUGUUCUGCUUCUACUUCUGGGGGUCUCUACUAUUGGAGUACCAAGCUUGCUGGCCCAAAAUGGUCACCAUUUGCUUCAUGGAUAACUAGCUGGUAUAUUGAGAUGAUUUCUUUGGAGCAAUUCUUGACAACAUUUGUAGUUGAGGCCUUUAGAAUGGAAGAAUGUAUUUCACUAAUUUUUGUAUACAUUUCUUGGUUUGUAUUUAGUGAUAAAGGAAUCUGAAUUGGGCAUAAAUUAUGUUGUAAUAUGAUUUCUUAAGCCUAGACUAGUAGACUAAAUAUUGUAAUUACAUUUGAGUAAUUAAUAAAAAUCUAUUUAUGUUA